rnacentral:rRNA from 1 species
ACCCUACUGCUAUCGGGGUGGGACUAAGACAUGCGAGUCGUGCGUCUCUAGGCCAUGGUAGAGACGCGGCAUACGGCUCAGUAACACGUGGCUAACCUACCCUUAGGACGGGAAUACCCCCGGGAAACCACGCGCAGGCACGUAAUUACCUUUCUCGACACGCUCAAAGCAUGGCUAUGUACGCAUAGUUCACGUAGAACCGCUUUCCUUGACGGAAAACCUAACCUGAGAAGCUUUGAGCCAACCAUUCACGAUAACACACAUCACCGCCAACAGAAACAACAGGAGCUCUGGCGUGGCCCAAAACUGGGGUUAAUACCCGAUGGGCGAAGAGGCCUGGAACAGUUCCUCGCUGAAAGGACGUUGGAACCAUGCUUUUCAACGUCGCCUAAGGAUGGGGCCGCGGCCGAUCAGGUUGUUGGUGAGGUAACGGCUCACCAAGCCUAUAACCGGUACGGGCCGUGAGAGCGGGAGCCCGGAGAUGGGCACUGAGACAAGGGCCCAGGCCCUACGGGGCGCAGCAGUCGCGAAAACUCCGCAAUGCGCGAAAGCGUGACGGGGCUACCCCGAGUGCCGUCCGCUGNNNNNNNNNNNNNNNNNNNNNNNNNNNNNNCUCCCGUUAAUAUCCAGCGACCUAAUCGUUGGGUCUGCGGGAGAUCACUGUCGGGCUAGGAGGCGGGAGAGGCCGACGGUAUUCUCGGGGUAGGGGUGAAAUCCUAUAAUCCCGGGAGGACCACCAGUGGCNAAGGCUGUCGGCUAGAACGCGCUCGACGGUGAGGGACGAAAGCUGGGGGAGCGAACCGGAUUAGAUACCCGGGUAGUCCCAGCCGUAAACGAUGCGGGCUAGGUGUUGGGGUGGCUACGAGCCACUUCAGUGCCGCAGGGAAGCCAUUAAGCCCGCCGCCUGGGGAGUACGGCCGCAAGGCUGAAACUUAAAGGAAUUGGCGGGGGAGCACCACAAGGCGUGAAGCUUGCGGUUCAAUUGGAGUCAACGCCGGGAACCUUACCGGGGGCGACAGCAGAAUGAAGGCCAGAUUGAAGGUCUUGCUGGACGAGCUGAGAGGAGGUGCAUGGCCGUCGCCAGUUCGUGCCGUGAGGUGUCCUGUUAAGUCAGGCAACGAUCGAGACCCGCACCCUUAGUUGCGACCUGGUACGGAUUACCGUUCAGGGCACACUAGGGGAACUGCCGUCGACAAGACGGAGGAAGGAGCGGGCUACGGCAGGUCAGUAUGCCCCGAAUCCCCCGGGCCACACGCGAGCUGCAAUGGCAGGGACAAUGGGUUCCCACCUCGAAAGGGGGAGGCAAUCCCUAAACCCUGCCUCAGUUGGGAUCGAGGGCUGCAACCCGCCCUCGUGAACAUGGAAUGCCUAGUAAUCGCGUGUCAUCAUCGCGCGGUGAAUACGUCCCCGCUCC